CAGUGAAUAGUUUAAUAAAAUAUUAAUUUUGGAGAUUAAUGAUAAAGUGUAUACUUUUUCUCUGA
rnacentral:tRNA from 1 species